rnacentral:rRNA from 1 species
UGGCGGCAUGCCUUACACAUGCAAGUCGAACGGUAACAGGUCUUCGGAUGCUGACGAGUGGCGAACGGGUGAGUAAUACAUCGGAACGUGCCCGAUCGUGGGGGAUAACGAAGCGAAAGCUUUGCUAAUACCGCAUAAGAUCUACGGAUGAAAGCAGGGGACCGCAAGGCCUUGCGCGAACGGAGCGGCCGAUGGCAGAUUAGGUAGUUGGUGGGAUAAAAGCUUACCAAGCCGACGAUCUGUAGCUGGUCUGAGAGGACGACCAGCCACACUGGGACUGAGACACGGCCCAGACUCCUACGGGAGGCAGCAGUGGGGAAUUCUGGACAAUGGGCGAAAGCCUGAUCCAGCCAUGCCGCGUGCAGGAUGAAGGCCUUCGGGUUGUAAACUGC